GUGCUCGCUUCGGCAGCACAUAUACUAAAAUUGGAACGAUACAGAGAAGAUUAGCAUUUUGCCU
rnacentral:snRNA from 1 species